rnacentral:lncRNA from 1 species
UAAUAGCUACAGAUGAUAAGGUGGUUUGUAUUUUUCGAUAAUUAUAUAUUAUUAUAGAUUAUUUUUUCAUAUAAAUUUUAAUAUUAAAGUCCGCAUUAAUCUACAUGUCGUAACGAUUAAGUAUAAUAAUAUCUACUCACCAUAUCGCGCAGGUUGCUUAACUAGUUAUAUUAUAUCUCAUACCAAAUUAUGUAAAAUC